rnacentral:rRNA from 1 species
GACGAACGCUGGAGGCGUGCUUAACACAUGCAAGUCGAACGAUGAAAUGGAGCUUGCUCCAUGGAUUAGUGGCGAACGGGUGAGUAACACGUGAAUAACCUGCCCUUAAUUUUGGAAUAACCCAGGGAAACCUGGGCUAAUACCGGAUAAGUAAACCUGUGGCAUCACAUGGUUUUGGAAAGUUUUUCGAUUAAGGAUGGAUUCGCGGCCUAUCAGCUUGUUGGUGAGGUAAUGGCUCACCUAGGCGACGACGGGUAGCCGGCCUGAGAGGGUGAACGGCCACACUGGGACUGAGACACGGCCCAGACUCCUACGGGAGGCAGCAGUGGGGAAUAUUGCGCAAUGGACGGAAGUCUGACGCAGCGACGCCUCGUGAGGGACGAAGGUCUUCGGAUUGUAAACCUCUUUCAGCAGGGACGAAGCGAAAGUGACGGUACCUGCAGAAGAAGCACCGGCUAACUAUGUGCCAGCAGCCGCAGUAA